rnacentral:rRNA from 1 species
UUUAUCGGGCAAAGGAUGAGCCCGCGUAGGAUUAGGUAGUUGGUGGGGUAAAGGCCUACCAAGCCGACGAUCCUUAGCUGGUCUGAGAGGAUGAUCAGCCACACUGGGACUGAGACACGGCCCAGACUCCUACGGGAGGCAGCAGUGGGGAAUAUUGGACAAUGGGCGAAAGCCUGAUCCAGCAAUGCCGCGUGAGUGAUGAAGGCCUCGGGUCGUAAAGCUCUUUACCAGGGAUGAUAAUGACAGUACCUGGAGAAUAAGCUCCGGCUAACUCCGUG